GUACAUCGAUUCCAGGACACACCGACUUUCUGCCAUCUUGGCAGAGGUGACCAAGAAACUCCUCUCAGCUCUAGAAACACAAAGCGAGAGAUCCCGGAAAGAGCCCGAACUAGGCGAACCCGCCGCCAUCUUACAAUGCGGGAAAGAAGUUACACGGCAGAGGGGAGCGAGCGGCCCGACAGGCCGGCUGCCUGUCCCGGGGAGAGCCGCCAUGGGACACAAACCGCCUCCGGCACAUGCGGACCGGCACCAUCCGGGCCGGCCGGCGGCGGGGGAGCGGCGGCGGCGACGCCACAGCCGCUCCGGGUUGCGCUGACAUUUCGGUGUCUCCGGGAGCUGCCGUUCCCCGCCCGCAGGAGCGGCGCCGCCCGCGCCCCGGGCCCAACCGAGCCCCCCCUUCGCCCUCCGGCCGCCGAGGCUCCAGGCCCAGCCCCGGGGAAAGCGGCCUCACCGCCCGGGCCAGGCCGCGGCCUCGCCGGAAGGAGCCGGCCCGCUGCCCGGCCUCGCUCCGCCGACCUCCCGCCUCCCCUUCCCCCCCGCGCCGAGCCUGGAGCACCCACCGCCGUGCCCUUCUCCUCCGGGCGGAGGAAAGCACAAAAAUAAAGAAGAAACCCGAGCGGGGGAGGCCGCAGGAGCAGCCCCGGCGCUCACCUUGUU